rnacentral:rRNA from 1 species
GAUGAACGCUGGCGGCGUGCCUAAUACAUGCAAGUCGAGCGAACAGACGAGGAGCUUGCUCCUCUGACGUUAGCGGCGGACGGGUGAGUAACACGUGGAUAACCUACCUAUAAGACUGGGAUAACUUCGGGUAACCGGAGCUAAUACCGGAUAAUAUAUUGAACCGCAUGGUUCAAUAGUGAAAGACGGUUUUGCUGUCACUUAUAGAUGGAUCCGCGCCGCAUUAGCUAGUUGGUAAGGUAACGGCUUACCAAGGCAACGAUGCGUAGCCGACCUGAGAGGGUGAUAGGCCACACUGGAACUGAGACACGGUCCAGACUCCUACGGGAGGCAGCAGUAGGAAAUCUUCCGCAAUGGGCGAAAGCCUGACGGAGCAACGCCGCGUGAGUGAUGAAGGUCUUCGGAUCGUAAAACUCUGUUAUUAGGGAAGAACAAAUGUGUAAGUAACUAUGCACGUCUUGACGGUACCUAAUCAGAAAGCCACGGCUAACUACGU